UACAGAGGGUGCGAGCGUUAAUCGGAAUUACUGGGCGUAAAGCGUGCGUAGACGGCUAUCUAAGUCGGGUGUGAAAGCCCCGGGCUCAACCUGGGAAUUGCAUUCGAGACUGAAUAGCUAGGGUACGGUAGAGGGAAGUGGAAUUUCCGGUGUAGCGGUGAAAUGCGUAGAUAUCGGAAGGAACAUCAGUGGCGAAAGCGACUUCCUGGACCAGUACCGACGUCAGGCACGAAAGCGUGGGGAGCAAACAGGA
rnacentral:rRNA from 1 species